rnacentral:sRNA from 1 species
AUGCCGGAAUAUCCCCGGCAUGAGCGACUGAUGAGUAACCCGGAGCUUGAUGGCGCUACGCUUAUCAGGCCUACAGAAUAUAAUGGCAACCGGGUGAUAUUGCAUAACCUGUAG